UACGUAGGGUGCAAGCGUUAAUCGGAAUUACUGGGCGUAAAGGGUGCGUAGGCGGUCGGGUAAGUCUGGCGUGAAAUCUCCAAGCCUAACUUGGAAACUGCGUUGGAUACUAUCCGGCUCGAGGAAUGGAGGGGAGACUGGAAUACUUGGUGUAGCAGUGAAAUGCGUAGAUAUCAAGUGGAACACCAGUGGCGAAGGCGAGUCUCUGGACAUUUCCUGACGCUGAGGCACGGAAGCCAGGGGAGCAAACGGG
rnacentral:rRNA from 1 species